GACGAACGCUGGCGGCGUGCUUAACACAUGCAAGUCGAACGAAGUGGCGAACGGGUGAGUAAUACGUGGGUAACCUGCCCCUGUUGUUGGGAUAAGCCUUGGAAACGGGGUCUAAUACCGAAUAAAGGGGGAUGUGCUAGCGGCUUAUCGGCUUGUUGGUGGGGUGGUGGCGUAGCAAGGCGGUGACGGGUAGCCGGCCUGAGAGGGUGAACGGCCACAUUGGGACGGUCAUACGGCCCAGGCUCGGACGCGGGGCAGCAGUGUGGGCUAUGGGCGAAAGUGCGAUAGCCUGAUGCAGCGACGCCGCGUGGGGGCUUAAGGCUUUCGGGUUGUAAACCUCUUUCGCUAGCGAACGGUUAGCUGGAGAAGAAGCGCCGGCUAACUCCGUGCCAGCAGCCGCGGUAAUUC
rnacentral:rRNA from 1 species